GUCUUACUAGUAGUUAUUUGUAGUUUAACCUGCUCAGUGAUUAUUAAUAUUAAAUAGCCGCAGUAUUUUGACUGUGCAAAGGUAGCAUAAUCAUUAGUUUUUUAAUUAGAAGCUUGUAUGAAUGGUUGGACAAAGAAAUAUCUGUCUCUUUUAUUUAAAUUGAAUUUAACUUUUAAGUGAAAAGGCUUAAAUUUUCCAAGGGGACGAUAAGACCCUAUAAAGCUUUAUAAGUUUAUGGAUUUUAUAUAUUUAAUAUAAAAAUAAUUUUUUAAAUAUUUAUUUGGUUGGGGCGACAAAAGUAUAAUUGGAAAUAACUGCUAACUUUAAGUACCACUACAUCUUGUAUAAAAAAUAAUCGGAUUCUUUAUAAAGAGUAAAAGUUCAAGUUACUUUAGGGAUAAAAGCAUCAUUUUUUCUGAGAGUACUUGUCGGAGAAAAACUUUGCUACCUCAAUGUUGAAUUAAAAUGUUUUUAUAAUGCAGCAGUUAUAUAAGAAGGUCUGUUCGACCUUUGAUAUUUU
rnacentral:rRNA from 1 species